ensembl:snRNA U6 U6 spliceosomal RNA
GUGUUCACUUCAGCAGCACAUAUAUUAAAACUGGAAUGAUAUAGGGAAGAUUAGCAUGGCCCUUGUGCAAAGAUGACAUGCAGAUCUGUGAAGUGUUCUAUAUUUUU